CUAGUGGCAGGAGUCAGCAUUGCCCUUGCAUUGCUUUGUAUUCUUAUCGUUGCUAUUUUUUGGUAUGCAUGGAAAAAAUCACAGGAAGGUUCCAUUGAACUCAAUCCCAUCCCCUACGGUGAGGCUGGAGUGUCCUUACGGAACGUGCCGGGGCCUGAGAGCCAGCAGGAGUGGCCUUUUCAGAGAGCAGGGCAGUGACAGCAGGAGAGUGCUGCACCACCCUCUGGCAGGACAGAAAAGCCCUCUUGGUUAUAGAUAGUUAAACAGCACUCUCAAAAGAGCUGUAUCUACAAAAAAAAAAAAAGUUACAUUCUUGAAGUUAUAAAUGCCCUCAUUAGGGAAAAUGCCACACUCUUAGACUAUUUUCUAAUAAAUUAAACCUGCACGGGGCACCACCGCUGUUGAGAUUAGCUGGAAUGGCCACUGUUUGUGCUUGUAUACCUGUGAAUUUCCUAAUGGAAAUGGCUCCUGGAGGGUUUUAGCUACCAAAAUCUGGUUUGGGCCACAACUAGUUUACCAGCAUAAACAUUGCUAUUCUAGUGCCUGGGAAUUUCCUAGGAAUUGUUUCAUUUGCUAGUCUAAAUAUUGUUAUCAUUUACAGUUUAUUUUAAAUUACACAGUUGAUACACCCAGCCACUCAUGGUCAGGGAUUGUUCAAAGAUGACCACUGCAAACCUUUGCUUGCUCAUUGUGCUGCUCAGGGGAAGAAGUAGUGGAAGAAUGACAGUAUCAUCCAAUAAAAUUCAGGUUUCCGGGCUUAACUGAGUAUUAAAUUUAGAAUAAAUUUAAUAAAAAUCAAGAGUCACUCUUGCACUGUUUCUUCCCCUGACUGAAGAUUUAAGAAUGAGGUAAUUGUAUGUAUUUUAUGUGUAGCAUAUUAUUUAGGGUCGGAGAGUUUGGCUAAAUCUGUUCCCUAUAUGUUUUUUUUUAAUGUGCAUCUCCUGUUUUUCUUUCAUUUAAUAGAAAUUUUGUAAGUGCUUAAAUGUUUUUUUAGAUAUUAGAUCAAGAGUGCCCUGGCAACAAAGAGCAUUAGUUGAAUGCAGAGGAAAUAAGAAUAACAAAUAUUUGUGAGGAACAAUUCAUAUAAACUAUGUUUACAGUGCUUUUUAAUUGAUGUUUGUAAGCCUCCUUGUGAAUAACGUUGCUUUUGAAAAUGCAUUCAGAGUGGUUGUAUUUUAUUUCUGAGCUCUUACAGAACUUGUGUGCUAGAAAUAAUAUUUGUUAUUUGGUGUUCACGUUGGUUAUUGCACUGUUGAAGACGUUUGUGAUUGCUGCAAAUGUUUUGCUCUACCUUGGGUG